CGAACGAACGGAUAAGGAGCUUGCUCCUUUGAAGUAAUGGCGGACGGGUGAGUAACNCGUGGGUAACCUNCCUCACAGCUGGGGAUAACAUCGAGAAAUCGAUGCUAAUACCGAAUGUGCUGAACAUCAUAAGAUGUUCAAGUGAAAGACGGUUUCGGCUGUCACUGUGAGAUGGAGCCGCGCUGGAUUAGCUAGUUGGUAAGGUAAUGGCUUACCAAGGCGACGAUCCAUAGCAGCCGACCUGAGAGGGUGAUCCCGUAGUGGGACUGAGACACGGAGUCCCCAAACUCCUACGGGAGGCAGCAGUAGGGAAUCUUCGGCAAUGCCGAGCAACGCCGCGUGAGCGAAGAAGGCUACGGGUCGUAAAGCUCUGUUGUUAGAGAAGAACAAGGGUGAGAGUAACUGUUCACC
rnacentral:rRNA from 1 species